AACGUAGGAGGCAAGCGUUAUCCGGAUUCACUGGGCGUAAAGCGUGCGUAGGCUGUUGAGUAAGUCGGAUGUGAAAGCCCCUGGCUCAACUGGGGGAGGUCAUUCGAUACUGCUCGGCUUGAGGAUGAGAGAGGAAAGCGGAAUUCCCGGUGUAGCGGUGGAAUGCGUAGAGAUCGGGAGGAACACCAGCGGCGAAAGCGGCUUUCUGGCUCAUAUCUGACGCUGAGUGCACGACAGCGUGGGGAGCAAACGGG
rnacentral:rRNA from 1 species